UACGUAGGGGGCUAGCGUUGUCCGGAAUCAUUGGGCGUAAAGCGCGUGUAGGCGGUCCGGUAAGUCCGCUGUGAAAGUCGAGGGCUCAACCCUCGAAUGCCGGUGGAUACUGUCGGGCUUGAGUACGGGAGAGGCGAGUGGAAUUCCUGGUGUAGCGGUGAAAUGCGCAGAUAUCAGGAGGAACACCGAUUGCGAAGGCAGCUCACUAAGCCAUAACUGACGCUGAUGCACGAAAGCGUGGGGAGCAAACAGG
rnacentral:rRNA from 1 species